UCUGGGAAACUGCCUGAUGGAGGGGGAUAACUACUGGAAACGGUGGCUAAUACCGCAUAACGUCGCAAGACCAAAGAGGGGGACCUUCGGGCCUCUUGCCAUCAGAUGUGCCCAGAUGGGAUUAGCUUGUUGGUGAGGUAACGGCUCACCAAGGCGACGAUCCCUAGCUGGUCUGAGAGGAUGACCAGCCACACUGGAACUGAGACACGGUCCAGACUCCUACGGGAGGCAGCAGUGGGGAAUAUUGCACAAUGGGCGCAAGCCUGAUGCAGCCAUGCCGCGUGUAUGAAGAAGGCCUUCGGGUUGUAAAGUACUUUCAGCGGGGAGGAAGGUGUUGUGGUUAAUAACCGCAGCAAUUGACGUUACCCGCAGAAGAAGCACCGGCUAACUCCGUGCCAGCAGCCGCGGUAAUACGGAGGGUGCAAGCGUUAAUCGGAAUUACUGGGCGUAAAGCGCACGCAGGCGGUCUGUCAAGUCGGAUGUGAAAUCCCCGGGCUCAACCUGGGAACUGCAUUCGAAACUGGCAGGCUUGAGUCUUGUAGAGGGGGGUAGAAUUCCAGGUGUAGCGGUGAAAUGCGUAGAGAUCUGGAGGAAUACCGGUGGCGAAGGCGGCCCCCUGGACAAAGACUGACGCUCAGGUGCGAAAGCGUGGGGAGCAAACAGGAUUAGAUACCCUGGUAGUCCACGCCGUAAACGAUGUCUACUUGGAGGUUGUGCCCUUGAGGCGUGGCUUCCGGAGCUAACGCGUUAAGUAGACCGCCUGGGGAGUACGGCCGCAAGGUUAAAACUCAAAUGAAUUGACGGGGGCCCGCACAAGCGGUGGAGCAUGUGGUUUAAUUCGAUGCAACGCGAAGAACCUUACCUGGUCUUGACAUCCACAGAACUUUCCAGAGAUGGAUUGGUGCCUUCGGGAACUGUGAGACAGGUGCUGCAUGGCUGUCGUCAGCUCGUGUUGUGAAAUGUUGGGUUAAGUCCCGCAACGAGCGCAACCCUUAUCCUUUGUUGCCAGCGGUCCGGCCGGGAACUCAAAGGAGACUGCCAGUGAUAAACUGGAGGAAGGUGGGGAUGACGUCAAGUCAUCAUGGCCCUUACGACCAGGGCUACACACGUGCUACAAUGGCGCAUACAAAGAGAAGCGACCUCGCGAGAGCAAGCGGACCUCAUAAAGUGCGUCGUAGUCCGGAUUGGAGUCUGCAACUCGACUCCAUGAAGUCGGAAUCGCUAGUAAUCGUGGAUCAGAAUGCCACGGUGAAUACGUUCCCGGGCCUUGUACACACCGCCCGUCACACCAUGGGAGUGGGUUGCAAAAGAAGUAGGUAGCUUAACCUUCGGGAGGGCGCUUACCACUUUGUGAUUCAUGACUGGGGUGAAGUCGUAACAAGGUAACCGUAGGGGAACCUGCGGUUGGA
rnacentral:rRNA from 1 species